GAUUUUUUAGCUUAAAAUAGCAUUUUGAUUUCGGCUCAAAAAGAGCAGGCAAAUAUCUGCAAAAGUCU
rnacentral:tRNA from 1 species